CUAACACAUGCAAGCCGAGCGGUAGAGUCUCUUCGGAGACUUGAGAGCGGCGUACGGGUGCGGAACACGUGUGCAACCUGCCUUUAUCAGGGGGAUAGCCUUUCGAAAGGAAGAUUAAUACCCCAUAAUAUAUUUUGAGGCAUCUUAAGAUAUUGAAAACUCCGGUGGAUAAAGAUGGGCACGCGCAAGAUUAGAUAGUUGGUGGGGUAACGGCCUACCAAGUCAAUGAUCUUUAGGGGGCCUGAGAGGGUGAUCCCCCACACUGGUACUGAGACACGGACCAGACUCCUACGGGAGGCAGCAGUGAGGAAUAUUGGACAAUGGGUGCGAGCCUGAUCCAGCCAUCCCGCGUGAAGGACGACGGCCCUAUGGGUUGUAAACUUCUUUUGUACAGGGAUAAACCUUUCCACGUGUGGAAAGCUGAAGGUACUGUACGAAUAAGCACCGGCUAACUCCGUGCCAGCAGCCGCGGUAAUACGGAGGGUGCAAGCGUUAUCCGGAUUUAUUGGGUUUAAAGGGUCCGUAGGCGGAUCAGUAAAGUCAGUGGUGAAAUCUCAUAGCUCAACUAUGAAACUGCCAUUGAUACUGCUGGUCUUGAGUAAGGUAGAAGUAGCUGGAAUAAGUAGUGUAGCGGUGAAAUGCAUAGAUAUUACUUAGAACACCAAUUGCGAAGGCAGGUUACUAUGUCUUAACUGACGCUGAUGGACGAAAGCGUGGGGAGCGAACAGGAUUAGAUACCCUGGUAGUCCACGCCGUAAACGAUGCUAACUCGUUUUUGGGUUUUCGGAUUCAGAGACUAAGCGAAAGUGAUAAGUUAGCCACCUGGGGAGUACGAACGCAAGUUUGAAACUCAAAGGAAUUGACGGGGGCCCGCACAAGCGGUGGAUUAUGUGGUUUAAUUCGAUGAUACGCGAGGAACCUUACCAAGGCUUAAAUGGGAAUUGAUCGGUUUAGAAAUAGACCUUCCUUCGGGCAAUUUUCAAGGUGCUGCAUGGUUGUCGUCAGCUCGUGCCGUGAGGUGUUAGGUUAAGUCCUGCAACGAGCGCAACCCCUGUCACUAGUUGCCAUCAUUAAGUUGGGGACUCUAGUGAGACUGCCUACGCAAGUAGAGAGGAAGGUGGGGAUGACGUCAAAUCAUCACGGCCCUUACGCCUUGGGCCACACACGUAAUACAAUGGCCGGUACAGAGGGCAGCUACACAGCGAUGUGAUGCAAAUCUCGAAAGCCGGUCUCAGUUCGGAUUGGAGUCUGCAACUCGACUCUAUGAAGCUGGAAUCGCUAGUAAUCGCGCAUCAGCCAUGGCGCGGUGAAUACGUUCCCGGGCCUUGUACACACCGCCCGUCAAGCCAUGGAAGUCUGGGGUACCUGAAGUCGGUGACC
rnacentral:rRNA from 1 species